AUCCUGCCCGGUUAGCAGAGAUCAGCCAACUGGAACAUGCACUCCGAGGUUCCUCUUGGGCCCCACCCCUUUCUGUUUUCCCCUUUGGUGAAUGCCCAUCCCCUUAGUAUUCAGAAGACUUUGAGAUUCUCUAAGACCAAUCUCUCCACAAGCUAUAGACCAUUUUUCUACAUCUAUCGAUAGGCUCAGCUCCCCACUCUGUCCCACCAUGAUAUCCCCCUAAUAAAGUCAUACCUU
rnacentral:lncRNA from 1 species